rnacentral:rRNA from 1 species
GACGAACGCUGGCGGCGUGCCUAAUACAUGCAAGUUGAGCGAUGAAGAUUGGUGCUUGCACCAAUUUGAAGAGCAGCGAACGGGUGAGUAACGCGUGGGUAAUCUUCCUUUUAGCGGGGGACAACAUUUGGAAGCGAAUGCUAAUACCGCAUAAUAACUUUAAACAUAAGUUUUAAGUUUGAAAGAUGCAAUUGCAUCACUCAAAGAUGAUCCCGCGUUGUAUUAGCUAGUUGGUGAGGUAAAGGCUCACCAAGGCGAUGAUACAUAGCCGACCUGAGAGGGUGAUAGGCCACAUUGGGACUGAGACAAGGCCCAAACUCCUACGGGAGGCAGCAGUAGGGAAUCUUCGGCAAUGGACGAAAGUCUGACCGAGCAACGCCGCGUGAGUGAAGAAGGGUUUCGGAUCGUAAAACUCUGUUGGUAGAGAAGAACGUUGGUGAGAGUGGAAAGCUCAUCAAGUGACGGUAACUACCCAGAAAGGGACGGCUAACUACGUG